rnacentral:rRNA from 1 species
UACGUAGGGGGCUAGCGUUGUCCGGAUUUAUUGGGCGUAAAGAGCGUGUAGGCGGCCAGGUAGGUCUGCUGUGAAAACUCGAGGCUCAACCUCGAGACGUCGGCGGAAACCAUCUGGCUAGAGUCCGGAAGAGGAGAGUGGAAUUCCUGGUGUAGCGGUGAAAUGCGCAGAUAUCAGGAUGAACACCCGUGGCGAAGGCGGCUCUCUGGGACGGUACUGACGCUGAGACGCGAAAGCGUGGGGAGCGAACAGG